CUACGCAAGUUCAAGUCUGCACAUCACUGUGUGAUAAUAUAUAAAUUGUUAAAAGAGUUUAUACUCAACUAUACGAGUUCAAGUCUACACAUCAGUGUGUGAAACUUAGAAAUUGUUAUUAGAGUUUAUACUCGGUUGAGUGGGUUCAAGUUUGAGAUUUGUCAUGCUAGAUAUCUAUGUUUAAACUAACUGUAAUACCUUUUCAAUUUGGAUACAUUUCAAGUUCGAGGAACAAGAUCGUUGGAAAGGGUUUCUAGGAUAUUGGCUUCCUUUUCAAUUUAUAUAACAAUAUGAUAAUGGCCUUCUCGGUUAGUACUUUUUUGUUAUAUUUGAUGGCCAUCUUUUGUUCAACAGUGAGUUCUUUCAAGGUAGUUGUGUGGCUAACUUCGUCAACAAAAUUGAUUUAGUGGGUAUGCGGUCCUCCAACUUAAUUUUCUAAUUUCGACGUGGAUGGUGGCCUCAAUUCCAUAUGUUAGUCGAAACGGGUUUUCGUCCAUGGUGGAAUGGGGUAUUGUUUGAUAUGUCCCCAAGACGGAGGGGAGCUAUUCGCUCUAGUGUCCCUUAGCAUCAUCCAAUCUUUUUUUUUAGCCCUUAGAGGAUGAUGUUGUUGGCGGCUUCUUCCUACUUGUUCGCUUGUGGAUGCUCAUCAGACGUGAAAUGUUGUUUUACUCAUAGCUCUAUGACAUCAUGUACUCUAGUUUGUUUGACACAAUAUGCCUCACCAAAGACAACAUGUUGCUCUACGUAGGACUCAAUUAACAAGGUUUGACCAACACUUUUUAGGGAUACGUCGAGAUACUCGUGACUUUAGGUGACACAAAGUCUAGGAACUACGACUGUAAGUUAAUCUACAACUGCAUCAUUGGGCGCCCUACCAUCAUAGAACUAGGCGUAGUCUCCUCAACUAUGCAACUAAAACUCAUACCCCCUGAAGUCGAAAGAAGUAGCCACUUUGCACGCCGACAUUGAAAGUGGCAAAAAGAUGCUUCAUGGCCUCCCUUAAAAGUCAAGAAGUACUCGUGAAAUCCACAUAGCCGAACAAAAGAAUGGAAACCAAGUCUUCAUUAUCACAAAUAUAUAUACCACUGAACUUGAUGCAAGAUUCGACGAGCUGCUGAUAAAAGACGAUCUUGGCAUUGUUUGCAAGCCAAUGAAAAGGCCUACAUCGGCUGGAGAGUUUAUCCUGAUCCCGGUGGAAGACAUUCCGAGAAAGACUAUAAGGAUCGAAACAAAUGUACCUGAUUACGCCAAAGACCAACUGACUAGUUUUCUGGAUGAGUAUGCCACAUCUUCUCAUGGACUGUUAACAAGAUGCUCGACAUAGAUCCAUAGAUCACCUACCACAAGUUGAUUGUGAACUCGAAUGCUCAAAGCAUUGUCCUUUGUCGUUGCAAACAAUCUCACUAAAAAGGAUGUUUCCAAUUUACUAGCUGCAAAUUUCAUUUCUAUUUCUAAUAAUAAGUGGUGUCUCUGUGUUGAUUAUACCGAGCUUAAUAAAAUGUGUCCCAAAGACGUGUACCUAUUUCCAAUAAUGACACGUUGGUCGAUAAGUUGUUUGGGUUCAAAUUAUUUUCGUUUAUGGAUGCUUAUUCAAGAUAUAAUCCAAUUCCUUUGCAUCCCAAAGAUUGCGGAAACAACAUUCAUGAUUGAGUCAGGGAACUAUUGCUACAACAUAAUGCUCUUCGAACUCAAAAACAUCGAUGCUACCUAUCAGUGCUUGAUGAAGUGUUCAUAAACCAAAUAGAAAAAAUGCUAUAAGUAGAUAACGAUGACAUGAUAGUCAAGUCUUAAUAUGAGAUUGACCAUGCAUCCCUUCUCUGCAAAUUCUUCAAAAAAAAAAUUUGAAAGCAAAACAUGAGGUUGAACCUCUAGAAAUGCGUUUUUGGGGUACAAGUUGGAUAAGUGCAAAUCAUUCACAACAAUGCCAACACUAGACUUCAAAAGAAAGAUCCAAGUCGUUAGCGGCAUGCUUGUGGCAAUAUUCAUAGCUAAGUCUGCCUAAUAUGUUUUCCCUUUUGACAAGCUAUUAAGCAAAUAGGCGACAUUCCAAUGGACAAAAAUUGUGAAGUCACACUAAUCCGACUUAAAGAAAUCAUCUCCUAGCUGCGAGUCUUGUCCUGACCAGUCAUAGAAGAAACGAUUUACUUAUAUUAGGCAAUUUCAUCAAAAGUUGUGAGCGCACCCUUAAUUUGUGAAACAAUCAAAUGGCAGAAAUUCGUCUACUUCGUUAGUAAAGUCAUACAAGGUCCCGAGAUCAUAUAUCAAUUGUUGGAGAAAAUCUUUUAAGUUGUACUUGUUGUAGUUAUGAGGCUAAGAAAAUAUUUCUUAGCUCAUAAGUUCGUGAUCCAGACAGACCAACCAAUUCAACAAAUCUUCUAUAGGCUAGAUCUAGAUCUAGCAGGAAGAAUGACAAAAAUGGUCAUUGGAGCUCUCGAAGAUUGAAGUCUCCUUUGAAUAGAAGAAGUCUAUAAAAGCCAAGGCCCUUUUCGACUUCAGUUAUGAGAUGACCCUAACAUUUUUCGAACCAAGUGCCAUUUGUACCAUCUUCGUCGACAGAUCCUCCAACACCAAUAGAAGUGGAGCUCGUGUCCUACUUGAAAACGACAAAGGCUUAGGUGUUGAAGCAUCCCUUACCUUUUCAUUUUCGACAUCUAACAACAAAGCAAUGUACGAGGCUAGCAUCGCAGGAUUGCGAUUGCGUAUAAAUGUAGUGCAUAAGAGCUCACGUUUAAUAUAGAUUCACAACUUGUUGUCUCCCAAAUAAACGGACAUUACCAAACUCGCCGUCUCCCAAAGAACGAUCAAAUGCUACAAAGAAACUUCGUUAGACUUCCCUGACCGACAUUCACCAACUCCUUGGGUAUACAACCCCAUCUCAAGCAGGGUUACUUAUACGGGGAGGGCAGUGAGGACAAGUAGGAGAGAUGGAGCAGUAUAUCUCGUGGAGCUCACUCACUAGAGGAUCGACUAUCUAGUACCCUCGGGAUUGGUGCUCGAGAUGAAUGAAGCAUGUGAAGAUGCAGAGGAUGGCUCAGUUAGAGUUGAGGCGGAGGCCACCGUAGGAGUUGGGGAUACAGUGGUUGUGCAGGGGACUAGCAAGAAGGAUAAGGGGUCAAUGGUAGUGGGAAGAGAUAUUGCAUGACCAUCUAGGCGGAUCGAGUCAGAGCUUCCACUUCUGGUGAAUGAUCCCAUAUCGAUUGUCACUGAAGUAGUGGACUAUUUUGAGAUUCCGGCGUCGCUGAAGCCACAUAUCUCGUGGGUGGAUCUGACUUCUGAGGAGACUGAUCCUUCUAUGGAUGUUGAUGACGAGGAAGUUACUUUGAGGAGAGAUACUGUGUCAGAAGGAACAUGCGGAGUGUUUGGAGAUCACCCUUGUUAUUGUAGAUGCUAGUGGAUGAUCAUAUUAGUUUUUGUUGUAUAUGGACUUAAUGUCUUUCUUUUGGUCUUUUAUAUCAAAGUUUGAGUCCAGAAGUCGAUUAUGCGUAAGGAAUGUAUUAACACUCUACGACAUCCAUACAAAAUAUGGUUACCUAUAAUUAAUUGUGUAAAAUUAAUAUAAACUUAUAUAAAUUUAUUU